UACGUAGGGUGCGAGCGUUGUCCGGAAUUAUUGGGCGUAAAGAGCUCGUAGGCGGUUUGUCGCGUCGACUGUGAAAACUGGGGGCUUAACUCUCAGCUUGCAGUUGAUACGGGCAGACUUGAGUUCGGUAGGGGAGACUGGAAUUCCUGGUGUAGCGGUGAAAUGCGCAGAUAUCAGGAGGAACACCAAUUGCGAAGGCAGCUCACUACACAAUCAUUGACGCUGAGGCACGAAAGCGUGGGGAUCAAACAGG
rnacentral:rRNA from 1 species